rnacentral:sRNA from 1 species
GCUGUUUCGCGUCCGGCCUGAGGCGGCUGGGGCCGCGCAGGUAGUGUCCCUGCACUUCUUGCCCGGGCGCGUGAGGCCAGCUCCGCUGCGCUGGCCUCCAGUUUCCAGCCCUCCUCCCCUAAGCCGCCGCCAUCAUGCUGCUGCCUGUGUUCACCCUGAAACUGCGCCACAAAAUCAGCCCCCGAAUGGUGGCCAUAGGGCGCUACGACGGGACUCACCCGUGCCUGGCGGCCGCCACCCAAACGGGCAAGGUUUUUAUUCAUAAUCCUCAUACACGGAACCAGCAUGUCAGUGCAUCCAGGGUCUUCCAGAGCCCCCUGGAAUCUGAUGUUUCUCUUCUCAACAUUAACCAGGCAGUCAGCUGUCUGACUGCAGGCGUAUUGAACCCUGAGCUUGGCUAUGAUGCCCUUUUAGUGGGGACACAGACUAAUCUUUUGGCUUAUGAUGUCUACAAUAAUUCGGAUUUGUUCUACAGAGAGGUAGCAGAUGGGGCAAAUGCAAUUGUGCUGGGGACAUUGGGAGACAUUUCUUCCCCUCUUGCGAUUAUUGGUGGCAAUUGUGCUCUGCAAGGUUUCAAUCAUGAAGGAAGUGAUCUCUUUUGGACGGUUACUGGAGACAAUGUUAAUUCCUUGGCCUUGUGUGACUUUGAUGGUGAUGGAAAGAAAGAGCUUCUUGUUGGAUCUGAGGAUUUUGAUAUCCGAGUUUUUAAGGAAGAUGAGAUUGUGGCAGAAAUGACAGAAACAGAGAUAGUCACCUCUCUUUGUCCCAUGUAUGGCAGUCGGUUUGGUUAUGCCCUUUCCAAUGGCACAGUUGGAGUUUAUGACAAAACAUCCCGAUACUGGAGAAUUAAAUCGAAAAAUCAUGCCAUGAGCAUUCAUGCUUUUGACCUUAAUUCUGAUGGAGUGAAUGAACUGAUAACUGGUUGGUCCAAUGGGAAGGUUGAUGCUCGAAGUGACCGAACUGGGGAGGUCAUCUUUAAGGACAAUUUUUCUUCUGCAAUUGCCGGUGUGGUAGAGGGAGAUUACCGGAUGGAUGGCCACAUACAGUUAAUCUGCUGCUCAGUGGAUGGGGAAAGUAAAUUGGGAUGAGAAAAAUCCUUAAAAAGUCACAUUUUCCAUUUGAUUGGGUCAAAAUAUCAGGAAAUUUCACCUGAAGUAUUUGUACCGAGAUCCUGUAGUUCUAAUAAAUUCACCAAAGUUGGGGAGAACUUAGGUUUUUGUUUUUAAGAGCAGGUAAUUGAUGACCUAAAAGUAUACCUGGUUAUACUUGGGGUUUUUUCCUUCUGUUCAGUCCGGGGCUACCUGCCUGGCACGGCUGAGAUGAGGGGGAACCUCAUGGACACCAGUGCAGAGCAGGACCUGAUCCGAGAGCUGAGUCAGAAGAAGCAGAAUCUGUUGCUGGAACUCCGUAACUAUGAGGAAAACACCAAGGCUGAAUUGGCCAGUCCACUGAACGAGGCUGAUGGGCAUCGGGGCAUAAUCCCAGCCAAUACCAGGCUCCACACCACGCUCUCAGUCAGCCUGGG